ACGUGUCUCCUUAGAGAGCAAGGGCUCCCCAGGGGCCUUCCUUGACAUGCCAUCCUUGGCUCAUAAGCAGAUGAAUAGAACAGCGCUGCCCUGCCGGAGGAACCCAAUGUGACUGGGAGUAAACCCUGCAGCUUCUGUGCUUUGGUGCCGGGCAGCCUGGCCUAGCAGCUUCCUCUCAUUGGCUGAGCCUCAUGAGGCGAUGUGGCAGCAGGGCCCCGCCUUCCACUGGCUGCCAGGGGAUGGGCACAAGGCCAAGUCUCACGGCUGGCGAUUGGGGAGCCCUGAGCAGCCUGCUCAGCCUGUGACAAGAGAUGAAAGGACCAAGGGAAAUAUGCCAGAAGAUUCGUCUUCUGCUACCUUGAAGGAGCCUCUUCCACUCACCAGGGCAUGAGGCGGCCUAGGCGGGUCCAGGAAGAUUUGCUAAUGCAGAAGCCCACCAAAGGAUCAGUGAAGGCAUCCCAGGCUCGACCCACGAACAGGAUGAUGGAAGCAGGGAAAGGGUUCACCUGGAAGGGGGAAGAGGGAAAGAGACAACUCCUUCAUUCUUUGAUUCGCCUCAGUCCUAACUGCAAAAGCAGGGACUCCCUCCCUGCCUCAGCCAGGCCUUGAGUCCCUAUGCUACUCCCAUCUGCGCCUUCAACAUCUUCAUUUUCCUUAUUAAUUUUUUUUUAAAGAGAGAGAAUUUUAAUA